rnacentral:rRNA from 1 species
ACAGCAGCAGCCGCGGUAAUACAGAGGUUGCGAGCGUUAAUCGGAUUUACUGGGCGUAAAGCGUGCGUAGGCGGCUUUUUAAGUCGGAUGUGAAAUCCCUGAGCUUAACUUAGGAAUUGCAUUCGAUACUGGGAAGCUAGAGUAUGGGAGAGGAUGGUAGAAUUCCAGGUGUAGCGGUGAAAUGCGUAGAGAUCUGGAGGAAUACCGAUGGCGAAGGCAGCCAUCUGGCCUAAUACUGACGCUGAGGUACGAAAGCAUGGGGAGCAAACAGGAUUAGAUACCCCGGUAGUACCUGUCUCUUAUAC